GAGAGUUUGAUUCUGGCUCAGGACAAACGCUGGCGGCGUGCAUAACACAUGCAAGUUGAACGAUAUUACAUGGAAUGAUUUCUUCGGAAUGAAAACUAUGUAUGAAAGUACCGAACGGGUGAGUAACACGUGAGGAACCUGCCUUUCACAAUGGGAUAGCAGUUGGAAACGACUAUUAAUACCAUAUGAUACUUAGAGUAAGCAUUUACACUAAGUUAAAGAUUUUAUCGGUGAAAGAUGGCCUCCGCGUCUGAUUAGCUAGUUGGUGAGGUAAAGGCCCACCAAGGCAAUGAUCAGUAGCCGGACUGAGAGGUUGGACGGCCACCAUUGGGACUGAGACACGGCCCAGACUCCUACGGGAGGCUGCAGUGGGGAAUUUGCGAGAAUGGAGGAAACUCUGAUGCAGCGACGCCGCACUAAGGAAGACGGUCUUCGGAUUGUAAACUUCUGUUCCUC
rnacentral:rRNA from 1 species